rnacentral:piRNA from 1 species
CAGAGGUGGUACUUGUAUGAA